ensembl:lncRNA
GUCAGCUCCUUUCUUAAAGGUAGUGGUGAUAUGGGAGAGCGCUCCUGCUGCCGUUCAGUGCAGGUGGAGCUGGGUAAACAAGGGGAAAAGCUGCUCCCACCAUCCUCAGGGGUUUAAUCUGUUGUGUGUGUGAGCCUGGCUGUGGAGAGGAGCCUCAGCCAGGUUUGGCAGUGCCUGAUUUGCAAUGCUACGGGAAGCAAAUGUAGGUUAGGAGAGGUUUGCCUUGCCUGCAGCCGCCUGUGCUGCCGAGGGAGCUGCGCUGCAGCAGGCGGUGCUGGCAAGGAUUUCCUUUGUGCUACAGCUUUCAUGCCUAGUGAUUUUAUGGGGCUGAAAGGGAGGGAGGAGGUGACAAAACGGUGAAAACCUGAGGCCAGGUCGUUGCUGUCAGAUGGGGACGGAGUCCUGCAGCAGUCAGAGCUGUUCUGCAUUUAUGAUCUGAUCUGCACGCUGAGUCAACGUCGCUGUAACGACAUGGAUGGAGGGCAGAGGUCCGCAGGUUUGCUUUGAGGAAGCCCCAUAAACAGGGCAGAUGUUUCUGAUGGCGAUGCCGGAGCCAGCAGAACCCCUGCAGCAGUGCAGCCCCAUGGUGCUGGAGGCCCUUCCAGACUGGAGGUGUGGCGGUGGUCUGCAUGUCAGCAGAGCAGUCCCAGCAGCGUUCAGCAUGGAUGAGGUAUUGAACGCAUCCCCGUGCCUCUGGGGGGCAACGUGGCUUCUGCUGACGUGUGAACACUCUGCUUGGCAGCCUGGUGCAGCACAUCACAGCUCAGAUGGGUUCUCCCAGGCGGCUGUGCAGCACAGAGCUAAUACAUGGAAUACAGGCUCAGCACCGUGAGUCAGCACUGCCGGAGCCCAGACUUGUUUGCAGCAGCAGCGAGGCGGUGCGGGAGGUGUGGGCUGCGGGAGCCCUUCUGCCCAAACGCCAUCCGGGAUGAAAUGGGGCUAACAGGGAGCAAAAGGCUGAACGGUGCUCGUGGACUCGUUCUGCACCGACCUGCCAGUCUGCAGGCCCCAAAAAUACAGGCACGGCCCAAAGGUUUCUAUUCAGGGCUCAGCAGUGGAAUAAGGAACAUGAGCCGUGGGAUAUCCCGUGUCACCGCAGGCUGCUCAGCCUGGAAGGGGCUGGUGGCAAAGGGAGGAAACGUCAGAAACGCCAUGGACUAUUUUAGAUCUGCAACCUCAGUUCUGCAAAGGACAGCCUGCUGAUGUGCCACGCUCAGCGAGCAGCGGGGAGGAACCCCACGGCAGGAAGAGAGGUUUGCAAGUUUCCCUUUCCCAUAGAGCACAUCCCAAACUGCUGCACGACAGCAUGCUGUGCAGUGCUGUGCUGCGUGGUGUCCUGUCAGCCUGCUGGGAGGACACGGAGUGCUCCAGCAGUGGGCAAUGUGGGAGCAGGCUGUGAGCUGCACAGCCCAGCAUACAGCACGGUGUGAGGCUGGAACUCCCAGUGCCCUCAGCACGUCUCCGUGCUGCGUCCCUGGCUGUGCAGCUCGGCCUGGAGGGCCCGGGGCUGUGAGCUCAUGGGUUUCUAUUUAUGCUUUCAUCUGGUUUUGCCUGCUUUGGACGGUUAACGUAACGCACACGCAGGGUGGUGCUUCAAGGAGACAAACAGUUGCUUCAUCUCCCUGUACAGACAGCCCUCUGCCCUUUGCGUUUCGAUUCCCGGUGUCUGUGUGUGUGGAGGUGAUUUGUCCAUAAUUGUUUGCUUUCUCCGGAGUCCUUUGAAGCGUCUGUCUCCCAACCGGUCCCCUCUUAAGAAUAAAUGCUUCCAAGCC